CGGGGACUUUAGGCAGACUCCCCGCUCCCAAGACGCGCGAGUGUCCAAGCUCUGC
rnacentral:ncRNA from 1 species